UUUUUUUUUUUUGGUUUAUAAAAUUUUACAUUUUAAACCUUUAUUUGUACAUUAACCAGCAAUUGUUCUGUCAUUGCGCAAUACGAUUUCGUGAUUACUAAUAUACAUACUUACAAACAAACAAAUUUGUUUAGGUUAAAAAGUACAUAUGACGAAUGUUCAUAAUAAAGUUAGCUAAUAAAAAAGUUAUAUAUAAAUAUCUAUAUCGAGACAUAUAGAAGGAAUAUGUAUGUGUUAGUUGCAACAAUAAACUGGAACAUGUGUUUGUUUAUAAACAAAACUAUUUCAACAAAGUCAAAAACAUGCUAAUUAAACACUACAACAUAUCACACAUACAUAUAUUAUGUACAAUAUGUAUGUAGGAUUACAAAGAGAAGUGUGUAUAUACAUAAAUAGCUUGAGGUAGUCACGUUUUAAUCAGCUGUUGGUGUCAGCGUCAAAGCCACAUAAUGUUAUUGGUAUUAAAAAAUAUUUUAGUAAGGUAAAAAAUAUGCAUACACACAAGUAUAAACUCAUGUGUUUUUGUUGAGUGAAGAGCAAAACUACUAAACCUUAUGAAAUAUUAAGUUAAGUUAGAAUUCAUGUGGCGUAAUUUAGAAACCGAUAUCUUCAAAAAAAUUUCCAAAGAGUGGAUUGGAAAUCGACAGAUUUAAAGAAAAUAUCAAUAUAAAAAAAAUUCACGUGUUUUUAUAGCAAUUAAUUUUAUUUCAUUUUUCAAACAAUUGAUGCAAAUAGUUUUGUUUUUGCAAGAUAGUGUAAGUCAUAAGGUUGAAUUUAGAGUCGCAUAAUUGUAAUCUUUAUUUCAAUGACGCUGCUCAGUCUCAAACUAAGGAGGCCAGUCUAUGUUAUCAGCGCAGUUGUGUUUUUCAUAUGCACGACUCGAAUGAAGUAGAGUGACACACCUCCUUCCAACAUGCGUUAUUUUCUUGAUUUUUGCAUAUACGCGUAUAUUUAUAUAUAUACCGUAUAAGAAAGUUGUGUUAGUUAAGAAUGGCUGAAAUUUGGUGGAGAGGCAGCUUAGAACCAGAUAUCCAAUAUAGUAGGAGACUCACUUACUAUACAUAUUCAUACCUGAACAGUUUCAUCAUUGGAUGUGCCUGGCUUACCGCCCCACAAUUUACGCGUUGUUUGUUCUUGCGCCUGAUAAUUAAACAAAAAAAUGUCCUCUAUCUCAAAGUACUUAACUAACGUAUACAAAGUAUGCACCAAAAUACAUGAACAAUAAAAAAUCAUUAACAUACUUA